UACGGAGGAUGCAAGCGUUGUCCGGAAUCAUUGGGCGUAAAGCGCGUGUAGGCGGCCCGAUAAGUCCGCUGUGAAAGUCCAGGGCUCAACCCUGGAAUGCCGGUGGAUACUGUCGGGCUAGAGUACGGAAGAGGCAAGUGGAAUUCCUGGUGUAGCGGUGAAAUGCGCAGAUAUCAGGAGGAACACCGAUGGCGAAGGCAGCUCGCUGGGACGGUACUGACGCUGAGGCGCGAAAGCGUGGGGAGCAAACAGG
rnacentral:rRNA from 1 species